rnacentral:rRNA from 1 species
GGUAAGUCCGGGCGAGGGGCGGGGGGAAAAUGGUGGGGGGUGUGGUUUGUCGGAAGUACGGGGCGGAAAGCUGACGUAGGCGGCUUUGUAAGUUAGAGGGGAAAGCCCGGGGCUCAACUCCGGAAUUGACUUUAAGACUGCAUCGCUAGAAUUGUGGAGAGGUAAGUGGAAUUCCGAGUGUAGAGGUGAAAUUCGUAGAUAUUCGGAAGAACACCAGUGGCGAAGGCGACUUACUGGACACAUAUUGACGCUGAGGUGCGAAAGCGUGGGGAGCAAACAGGAUUAGAUACCCGUGUAGUC